UAGAAGCGGCUGAUUAUCGUGAAUGGACAGAUGAUGUUGAAAAUUUUCAAAGGCUGUACACUGUAAUCGGAGCAUGUCUAUACUAUUCUGGACACUUGUUAAGUUCACAUCUACGUGAUGAAGACUUAGUAGAAAUUAAUGCGUAUUUAAAAUUUAACAGUAUAUUAAGGCUUAGCACUGAAAAGGAGUUGGACAAACUUGUUAUGUGGAAGGAAGUUUUUAUCAAAGAACAUAGAAGUCGGAAUAAAAACGACAGAAAUGACAAUAAGUAAACUUGAACUUUUUUAAUUUUUUUUUAUGUUGUGUUCAAUUCUUUUUUGUUUUUUUUAAUGUAGAAUACCAGAUGGGCGUUGGUUUCUUUUGAUCGUUGGUAAGGGUCAUUUUAUAUUAGCCACCCUUAUGGAAGCUGGUGGAUGUACAGAAGAUGCGAUAGGUGUAACAUCCCCAUCCCCAUUUUACGUGGAGGAAUGUGAAAGCUGUUUGGAACUGCUUUACGAAGUGGGACUGCAUAAAUAUUUGGCUACCUGGUUCUCAUCAAACACAUUACCACAGGUUGAAACAACUCCUGAAUACUUGACAAAGUAUGGCAGGAAAAUGAGGGUUUGUAAGUUUAUGAUUAUCUUU